rnacentral:rRNA from 1 species
GACGAACGCUGGCGGCGUGCUUAACACAUGCAAGUCGAACGAAGUGGCGAAAGGGUGAGUAACGCGUAAUCAACCUGCCCUUCAGCAGGGUACAGCAGUUGGAAACGACUGCUAAUACCGCAUACUGAAGGAGGGGCUGGCGUCGGAUUCGUUAGUUGGAGUGGUAACGGCCCACCAAGGGGAUGAUCAGUAGCCUGUCUGAGAGGAUGAACGGCCACAUUGGGACUGAGACACGGCCCAGACUCCUACGGGAGGCAGCAGUGGGGAAUAUUCCGCAAUGGACGAAAGUCUGACGGAGCAACGCCGCGUGAGUGAUGACGGCCUUCGGGUUGUAAAGCUCUGUUAACCGGGACGCGGUACCGGAAUAGAAAGCCACGGCUAACUACGUGCCAGCAGCCGCGGUAAUUC